UAUGUGAUCGUCUCUCGCAUAUCAAUAAGCGGAGGAAAAGAAACUAACAAGGAUUCCCCUAGUAACGGCGAGUGAAGCGGGAAGAGCUCAAAUUUGAAAUCUUAAAGGGUUUCCCUUUACGAAUUGUAGUUUAAAGAAGUGUUUUCUGUUGAGGUUUUGGUAAAAGUUCUUUGGAAUAGGACAUCAUAGAGGGUGAGAAUCCCGUAUUUGACCUUUACUUUCAACUUUGUGAUACACUUUCAAAGAGUCGGAUUGUUUGGGAAUGCAGUCCAAAAUGGGUGGUAAAUUUCAUCUAAAGCUAAAUAUUGGCGAGAGACCGAUAGCGAACAAGUACCGUGAGGGAAAGAUGAAAAGAACUUUGAAAAGAGAGUUAAACAGUACGUGAAAUUGUCAAAAGGGAAGCGUUUGACACCAGUGUUGUUUUUCUGAAAAUCAAUUAAAGAACUGUUUAUGCUAAGCUGUUUAGACUUUAUCAGCUAUCUGUUUAGUUUUGAGCUCUUCUUUAAUGCACUUUUCAGUUAACAAGUCAACAUCAAUUUCUUUUGCUGUAAAAAAGCUUGAGGAAGGUGGCUUGAGAUUCGUCUUAAGUGUUUAUAGCCUCUUGCCUAUGCAGUCGGAGAGAUUGAGGUCUGCAGCGUAGAUCCUUCGGGGCUAAGUGCAUUUGUGCUAAGUUAUAGCAUUUUAUAGACAACUUGUUGACCUAUGAUUUGUCUUGUAGCUUACUCGCUUAUGUUAUUUUACCUACGCUUAGGAUGUUGAGCGCAUGUCUCUCUCU
rnacentral:rRNA from 1 species